rnacentral:rRNA from 1 species
GAUGAACGCUGGCGGCGUGCCUAAUACAUGCAAGUCGAGCGAACAGAUGAGGAGCUUGCUCCUCUGACGUUAGCGGCGGACGGGUGAGUAACACGUGGAUAACCUACCUAUAAGACUGGGAUAACUUCGGGAAACCGGAGCUAAUACCGGAUAAUAUAUUGAACCGCAUGGUUCAAUAGUGAAAGACGGUUUUGCUGUCACUUAUAGAUGGAUCCGCGCCGCAUUAGCUAGUUGGUAAGGUAACGGCUUACCAAGGCAACGAUGCGUAGCCGACCUGAGAGGGUGAUCGGCCACACUGGAGCUGAGACACGGUCCAGACUCCUACGGGCGGCAGCAGUAGGGAAUCGUCCGCAAUGGGCGAAAGCCUGACGGAGCAACGCCGCGUGAGUGAUGAAGGUCUUCGGAUCGUAAAACUCUGUUAUUAGGGAAGAACAAAUGUGUAAGUAACUAUGCACGUCUUGACGGUACCUAAUCAGAAAGCCACGGCUAACUACGUG